UGAAAGUGACAGUUAAUAGGCAGAGCUGUGGUCUUAGUCCAGUUAAUGGCGUAAUCCGAUAAUGAUGAGUAGUUAUUUAUAAGUGUGAUCGUCUGGUAGAGAGAUGUUUUUGAGUUCUGAAG